CUGAAGGGCUGACGCUGUCGCCACAGCCGCCAGAGCCCAGACAACCAGCUCUACCACCAGACCCACCACAGCUGCCAACAAUAGACAAUGAGCUCCCCUCUGACGCUAGCUUUCUCAUGAUGAUGUCCGGCACCGGCUUUCUGAGGGAUGCACAACAGAACACCGCAUGUGACAGCGCACUCAGUCAGCAUGAGAGCAGCAAAAGCAUCGACUACGUCUCGGAACGAAAGUUUGUUGUUUUCGAGUCUUGUUUGGACGAGCUACUGGGUAAUUGACCUGAGUACACUGCACUGUGCCGCAUCACAGAGAAGAAGCUCAAAGGGACGUGUCUCCGGGUGCACAGAAUGUGCAACAAUGGCCACCAACACACCUGGACCAGCCAACCACCAGUGAAUAGGAGGGCCCUAGGCAAUGUGCUCCUAGCUGCAGCAACACUCUUCUCUGGGAGCAUCGUCAAAAAAGUGCUGAGGCUCCUCCGCCAGAUGGGCGUGCCCUGUUUCUCGUACGAGACAUACUUCAAGAUUCAGGGUGCCUUCCUUCUACCAGCAAUCAGACAGGUCGCUCUUGAGAAGGCAGCUUCUCGGCAGCCAAACUGUGCUUGUUGAAUGCUGCGAGGGGAACAAGACCUGAACAGGCAGGGGUCUAUGCGACCUAAACUUCCAGGUGUGGAACAGGAAACAAAACGAGCUCUUUGAGCAAGCAAGUGGACGAGAACUGGUCCUCGCUGGUGAUGGGCGGUCAGACUCCCCCGGGCACUCAGCGAAAUAUGGAACGUACACCGUUGUUGACGUGUCAACGAACAAGGUUCUCCAUGUGGAAACAGUGCAGUCCAACGAAACAAAGGGCAGCUGGGCAAUGGAGCUCAAGGGCCUGAAAAGGACUCUAGUGAUUUGUGAAGCCAAUGGAUUGACUGUGGGAGGAAUCAUCACUGAUCGCCACUCCAUGAUCAAGUCAUUCCUUGCCAAGUGGUAC